GCCUGGGUGGCUUAGUUGGUUAAGCAUCCGACUUUGGCUCAGGUCAUGAUCUCACAGUUUGUGGGUGGGUUUGAGCCCCACAUCGGGCU
rnacentral:tRNA from 1 species